rnacentral:rRNA from 1 species
GACGAACGCUGGCGGCGUGCUUAACACAUGCAAGUCGAACGGUAAGGCCCUUCGGGGUACACGAGUGGCGAACGGGUGAGUAACACGUGGGUGAUCUGCCCUGCACUUCGGGAUAAGCCUGGGAAACUGGGUCUAAUACCGGAUAGGACCACUGCCUGCAUGGGUGGUGGUGGAAAGCUUUUGCGGUGUGGGAUGGGCCCGGGGCAUAGCAGCUGGUUGGUGGGGUGAUGGCCUACCAAGGCGACGACGGGUAGCCGGCCUGAGAGGGUGACCGGCCACACUGGGACUGAGAUACGGCCCAGACUCCUACGGGAGGCAGCAGUGGGGAAUAUUGCACAAUGGGCGCAAGCCUGAUGCAGCGACGUCGCGUGAGGGAUGACGGCCUUCGGGUUGUAAACCUCUUUCAGCACCGACGAAGCGCAAGUGACGGUAGGUGCAGAAGAAGGACCGGCCAACUACGUGCCAGCAGCCGCGGUAA